GUGUCCUGGACAGUCUUAGCUCCUAAGAUUCCAAGACAAAGAAGAGAAAUUUUUUUCGAUUGCCGCCACAGAUUUGGAAAUUUUGUUAUUAAUUGAAAAUUUUCAAAUUUGUGUCCCUGAUGGGUAGGAAAGAGGAAAGUAUCUUCAAACCGGAGACCUGGCUCAAAUACUUGAACAGAAUGGACACCAAAGGUAGACUUCCAAGACAAUGCAAGAAUCCAUAAAUGCUCCGUAAAAGCGGUCAAAUAUCAGCUGUAUUGAUGAUGAUGAUGAUGAUGAUGAUGAUGAUGACAGCGACGACGACGACGGUUGCAUCAUUGAAUUACAGUUUGCGCCAAUUUCAAGUAUGUUUAGAGACGUGUGCACACUGCCAUCUGCCGGUAGACGUGCCAACCUCAUUCAAAUAUACGAAUUCAUUCAUUCAUUUAUUCAUUUGUUCAUUUACUCUUCUGACGAUGAGUCACGGAUACAGUCAAGCAAUUAAAGGAAUGCUGUUCAUCGCAGUGAAAGCGUUGAUAUAGAUUUGCCGCUUAUGAUCUAAGAAAAGAUGAGACAUUAGAUACAGAAUCAAUGAAGGGCGGAGAUCUGCUAUUAAGGGAGAUGGCGUUAGUACUGUUAGUGAUGAUAGAAGUGACCUUCAGGUUAUGUAUUUAAUCACUGUGUUUUGUUCAGCAAAUAUUAACCAUUUAAUAAUUUUCUUCUCAGGUAAAUACAAUUUGUAACAAUUAUAUUGUCUCUUGUGUAACACAGUCAAAAUAACUGAGGAGAAUAUUAGAAGUAGAAUUAGAGAGAGGUAAAUAUUUGUUUCUGUUUUUAUUAAUAUUUGACUAGUGUUAUCUUAAAAAAUAUCGUUUAGGCAGCCAUCUUUAAAAAUAGCAUUUUGGCAUCGACAUAAACGCUUGCCUAUAAUUUUAUCUGUUACUUGCUUCAGUCAUUGGACUACGGUCAUGUGGGGCACUGCUUUGAAGAGCAUAGGUGGAACAAAACGAUCCCUGUACUUUUCCUUAGAUCUGAUAUUUAUUGCGUCGGCUAGUUUUGCCGAACUGCUAAGUUACGGGGACGUGAACAAACCACCACCGCUUGACAA
rnacentral:lncRNA from 1 species